ACUUGGUGAAAUUCCUCUGGGAUUUUGAGACACCAAAGCAAUCUCUCUAGUUCUGAAAAGACUGAAUUUGCAGCAUCUGCUGAAAUGAAGAAUAAUCAAUGUUCACCAGCGGAAAUUGAAAAGCAAGGAGAUGGGGAAGAUUCCAAGGACCCACUCAAGUUCCUGGUGUUUUUGUGAAUGUUCUGUGUUUUAAACAUGCUUUUGUUUAGGGGAAGGCAUGACCUGAGCAAAUUGGGAUAAAGAAGAGGUUGAAAAUGCAUAUGGCUUAGGCAGAGUUAGGAGUUUUAGAGAAAAUACCAGGGUAACUUUUAGAGUCUUGGCUUAAGGCAGAAGCUUCUGAAAGAGUGACAGUUGCCUUCCUCUAUUUUUAUUAAUAUAUAGGUGUGUUGCCAUUAUUACCUACCAGAAAGAGCAUAAUAUUAAUCAAAUCAAAUUACAUGAGUCCUACAGUAGAAAUACUGCAGACAUUUACUAUUAUAUUAAAAUUUAAUUAAUGGUAAGACUUUUCAAGGUAGUAGUAGUUAUAUGCAGCUCUUUGGCUCAAAGUCAAAGUAUGAUAUACACAGAAUAGAAACGAUGCUGGACUGCCAGAAAAUCUGCCUCUCACUCCCACUCCCCCAAAAUCUAUUAGGAACGAGCAUUUACUGUUAUUAUUUCAAGUAUUUAUGCAAAGUAAUUUAAAAUGAUUUAAACAUCCCAUAUAUUAAUCAAAUUUAAUAAUAAGUUAGAUUCUGAAACAUUUGUGCUAUUAACAACAGUCAGAAAAAUAACAUUAUUUCAUUGGUAUUAAAUGAGGCAA